AAGCAAUCAAGGAAGGAAUUUAAACUUCUGUUCCCCCUUGGCCAAAUGUUUACCUCCUGGGAGGCUGUGAAAUCAGCUGGAAGAGAUGCUGGAAGCAGAAGAUGCUCUCUCUGAAGCCAAUGCCCUAAAUAACACCAACGCUGAAGUGUGGGGAUAUCUCGCCCUCAUCUGCCUGCAGGGCGGGCGGCAGCUGGAGGCGGAGCAGUGUUACAAAUA